AGGGGGUGCAGAAGAGAGCGACCAGAGAACAGCCACAGAUGCAGCACAGUAGCAGAGAGCGGCGUGGCUGCCAGGCGUUCAGAGACACAGCGGGACGUGUCGGUGUGGUGCAAGGACUGACACUGGGAUGAGAUGUAAUUUAUGGCGAGUGAUGUUUGAUUAUAGGACGGUGAUGGUGAUGCCACUGCUUAGUAUGAGCGUUGGUAUCACUUGACAUGACAGCCCUGCACUGACAGACUUAUUGGAUGUAAUCAUAUAUGUGCGUAAAUAUAACAUAAACUGUGAAUUAAUAGUCACUCUCAGAAUACAUUUUAAGAGGCGUCCUUUCUGAAUUAUAUAGCUCAGUUCAGCUUUGUUUUUUUUUCACUAAGUACGUUACUGGAGUGUGUUUAUCAAGUCAAAUCCAAGCAUCCUGGAAAUUCUUUCUCAAUGAUUUGUUUUGGAAAAAGUAUGCUUUUUGGGAAACUGGCAGCUGAUCUUUUCAUAACUAGAGGUCAACAUAACACUCAGUAUUAAUAAAACAAAUAAGACUCGGAUGGAUAUUAACGAUGAUAUAUACAGAUGUACUGCACAUGAGCUUGAAUUAUGUGUGAGCACGCUGAAGGAGAGACACUCUCACAGAUGUUUGUGUUUUCUUGUCUGUGUGUGUGUGUGUGUGUGUGUGUGAUAGCCGAGUCAGUUUCCCCCUCAGAUGUUCCCUUUGACCUUUGACCCUGCAGUCGGGGUCAAGCCCUGACAAAUGAGACGGUCGAGUUCUGGCCAGAACUGCAAACAUUCCACAACAAUCUUCUGUCCUCCUCCUCCCCUCUCCUCAUAUCCGUCAUUCCUCACCCCUUCACUCCUCUCAGUGUAUCUCCUCCACGACUUAGAGAGAGGCAGAGAAAGUUCUCAUUACACACACACACACACACAUGUUUUAUUGAAUUUGCUGUGGGAACCUUAAAGCACACACACCCUUCGAAUUAAGAAUUACGGCACGGGUUAAAUUUAAAAUCCCCCAACAUCUGCCUUGUUUACAGAAGGAGAGAAAACACAAAGGGUAUGAUCAUAGUGUGUUAAAGAUUUGGAUAUUACAACCCUGCACUUUGAAAGCACACUGUGUGUGUGUGUGUUUGGAAAGCUUGUCAGUGAUGUCAAGGAUGAGAAAUGUUGCAGUGUGGUUUUUUACACACACUGCUGGCUCCAGCAUUUCCGGCAACAUUUCUCACUCUGCCUCCCUCACACCAUCCGCUCUGCUGCAAUAUCCCCACAUUUUUUCCAUCCUUUCACUUCUUCCCCUACCCUCCCUCCCUCCCUCUCUGACCACUCUUGCUCCCUUUACCCUUCCUCUCUGCUGCACCACCCAUCCCACUCUCAGCCUCUCCCUCCCUUCGCUCUCCUUCCAGCAUAUUCACUCACCCCCUCCCUUUUUCCUCCACCCACUAUUUUCUCUGAUUUUCUAACAUGCCGUUCCACAGAAUGCUACCACCUGUGUCUUUAGGGGGACACGGGGGGGCUAUUGGUAUUCCUCUUCGGGAAGCUGGUUAAGGUAAGUGGCACCCUCUAUUACAAUGACACGGCAAAUAAUGGUUCUGCCUGUUGUGUUUUUGCAUUAACUUUUUUUUUUUCAUGGAAUGACCCCGGCUUCCUAAGCAUCACCACCCUCCAUCAGAGCUCUAGCUACAAGUCACUGCUGUAAAAACACACACAGUCACCAUUGAUGAACGUCAGCAGAGCAACCACAGUGCCACAAAGGAGCCUGGAGACCAACAAAGCCGGCUCAUACAGUAACACUGAGUGGAUCAUGCUCUUGAACUUGCUUUCAUAAUGAUGUAAUAUUCCUAAAAGGCAAUGCAACACAGCAAAGAUCUUAAUAAAAAACACAUCAAUCUCGA